rnacentral:rRNA from 1 species
UACGAAGGGGGCUAGCGUUGUUCGGAAUCACUGGGCGUAAAGGGCGCGUAGGCGGCUUUGUAAGUCGGGGGUGAAAGCCUGUGGCUCAACCACAGAAUGGCCUUCGAUACUGUUCGGCUCGAGACCGGAAGAGGUGAGUGGAACUGCGAGUGUAGAGGUGAAAUUCGUAGAUAUUCGCAAGAACACCAGUGGCGAAGGCGGCUCGCUGGCCCGAUACUGACGCUGAGGUGCGAAAGCGUGGGGAGCAAACAGG